UCCAGGGGGCCGCCUUCGCCACCGGUGUUCCUCCGAUCUCUACGCAUUUCACCGCUACACCUGGAAUUCUACCCCCCUCUACAAGACUCUAGCCGGACAGUUUUAAAUGCAAUUCCCAGGUUGAGCCCGGGGCUUUCACAUCUAACUUAUCCAACCGCCUGCGUGCGCUUUACGCCCAGUAAUUCCGAUUAACGCUUGCACCCUCCGUAUUACCGCGGCUGCUGGCACGGAGUUAGCCGGUGCUUCUUCUGCGAGUAACGUCACA
rnacentral:rRNA from 1 species